CCUACGGGUGGCAGCAGUGGGGAAUAUUGCACAAUGGGCGAAACCCUGACGCAGCGACGCCGCGUGAGUGAAGAAGUCUUUCGGUAUGUAAACCUCUUUUAGCAGGGAAGAAACUGACGGUACCUGUUUAAGAAGCCCCCGCUAACUACGUGCCAGCAGCCGCGGGAAUACGUAGGGGGCAAGCGUCAUUCGGAUUUACUGGGUGUAAAGGGAGCGUAGUAGGCAGCACAAGUCAGGAGUGAAAUGCCGGGGCUUAACCCCUGAACUGCUUUGGAAACUGUGCAGCUAGAGUGCAGGAGAGGUAAGUGGAAUUCCGGGUGUAGCGGUGAAAUGCGUAGAUAUUAGGAGGAACACCAGUGGCGAAGGCGGCUUACUGGACUGUAACUGACGUUGAGGCUCGAAAGCGUGGGGAGCAAACAGGAUUAGAUACCCGAGUAGUC
rnacentral:rRNA from 1 species